rnacentral:lncRNA from 1 species
AAAAAUUGGAUCAGGAAAGCUGAUGGGACCCAAAGGAGUUUCUGUGGACCGCAAUGGGCACAUUAUUGUUGUGGACAACAAGGCGUGCUGCGUGUUUAUCUUCCAGCCAAACGGGAAAAUAGUCACCAGGUUUGGUAGCCGAGGAAAUGGGGACAGGCAGUUUGCAGGUCCCCAUUUUGCAGCUGUAAAUAGCAAUAAUGAGAUUAUUAUUACAGAUUUCCAUAAUCAUUCUGUCAAGGUACUACAAGCACAUGAGUUGUUGUUAACUUUUAACUGCUUUUAUGGAGAAAUUGGUCUGCGAGAAAAUAAUGCAAUACUUACAUAUGGCACCAAAGGGAGUUAACCAGCAGAGUAGACUUUGUUCUGCUCAAAGAUGCCGGUUUUAACUUGGACUUACAGACCUUGGAAAGUCAGGAAAUUGAAUAAAAUGUGGUGGCAAUAAGUUGCUUAAUUUGAAACUGGUGCAAAUGAAGAGGACUUGAAAAUUAAAUUUUAAAAAGCAAUUCGUUGAACUUAGAGGCAGAACUUUCUGAAGCUUAAUGUUUUGUGGCUAGUCAAUAAAUUAAAAUCACUUUUUCAA